UUGCCUCUCCAGAACAUAAGCAACUACACAGCACCUAAUUACCAGCCUCUGUUGAAAGAGCAGUGGCAGUACUGAGCGUCAGUGCUGAAGAGUGUGUUUUUCCAUACUGAUGGAAGUGUUUUUCUGUACUGUACCUGCAUGGGCAUAACCACGCCGGCCAGCAGCCAUAUGCAACUCCUUGGGAGCAGAAAGUCUAACAGAGGUCUAUCACUCACCUGGAAAUGUAGAAACUAUACCAUUAGCCCACAGCUUCAGGUGUCAACUCAAAUAUGCUUCUUCAAGAUGCAGACCUCAGUUGAGCGGUAAUAUGAGACCAGCCUGUAUUUAGAAAGCUGAUACGGUUCAAGUUUGAGGACCUAAAUGAUGGUUCAAGAUAUGCACCAUGUAACAGGAGAGCUGGAGGGAGAGCACAAGUUACACUCCCAGCGGAAGCGAGGUAUUUAGCACAGCAUGGAGGCACACUCCAUCAGGUGAUUCA
rnacentral:lncRNA from 1 species